rnacentral:tRNA from 1 species
GGAGUUGUGGCUCAGUGGUAAAGUGCUUGCCUUCCAUGCAUGGGACACUGGGUUUGAUCCUCAGCACCA